GAUGAACGCUAGCUACAGGCUUAACACAUGCAAGUCGCGGGGCAGCAUGGGGGUUGCUUGCAAUCCCCGAUGGCGACCGGCGCACGGGUGAGUAACGCGUAUCCAACCUGCCCUUCACCACGGGAUAACCCGGCGAAAGUCGGACUAAUACCGUAUGUUGUCCAUUGACGGCAUCCGAUUUGGACGAAAGGCUUGGCGGUGAGGGAUGGGGAUGCGUCCGAUUAGCCAGACGGCGGGGUAACGGCCCACCGUGGCUACGAUCGGUAGGGGUUCUGAGAGGAAGGUCCCCCACACGGGAACUGAGACACGGUCCAGACUCCUACGGGAGGCAGCAGUGAGGAAUAUUGGUCAAUGGGCGUAAGCCUGAACCAGCCAAGUAGCGUGCAGGAUGACGGCCCUAUGGGUUGUAAACUGCUUUUAUGCGGGGAUAAAGUGGCCCACGUGUGGGCUUUUGCAGGUACCGCAUGAAUAAGGACCGGCUAAUUCCGUG
rnacentral:rRNA from 1 species